CGGACGUGAAGGCUCGGAGCUGCAGCGAGGUCCGUCAGGCUUACGGUGCCAAGGGAUUCAGCCUGGCGGACAUCCCCUACCAGGAGAUCGCAGGUAAGCGCGGGCCCGGGGCCCGCUGCAGCCCCGAGAGGCGGCGGGGCGCCCUCUCCCUACCCCCUGUUGCUCAGUUGGUGCUCACUUUCUGCGGGUGCCUCCCAGGAACCCCGCGUCCCAGCAUCCAGGCGGCGGAGGCUGAUUCCGUUUCCCGGGCGGGAGGAAGGUGUGCGUGCCCGCCGCCUCAUUGUGUGCACACGCGGGAGCACACUGUUCCCUCGCCCCUCGCUCCCUGCAUCUGCUCCCGCGCCCUGCUACCUCCGUGGCUGGCCUAGAGCCGGGCCUGGCCUCUAGAGCAGGGGAAGAUGGAGUGAGGACGGCUAGCGGAGGCAGAGAGCGGAACCGGGCGCCCAUCGCAUCCCUCUCGCUGGGGCAAACUUGGGAGAACUGCGGCCGC
rnacentral:lncRNA from 1 species